AUCCAGCUGACGAGUCCCAAAUAGAACGUGACGUGCAUCCUGGAU
rfam:Schistosoma margrebowiei strain Zambia genome assembly, scaffold: SMRZ_contig0001899